rnacentral:rRNA from 1 species
UACGUAGGGGGCUAGCGUUGUCCGGAAUCAUUGGGCGUAAAGCGCGCGUAGGCGGCCCAGUAAGUCCGUUGUAAAAGUCAAAGGCUCAACCUUUGAAAGCCGAUGGAUACUGCUGGGCUAGAGUCCGGAAGAGGCGAGUGGAAUUCCUGGUGUAGCGGUGGAAUGCGCAGAUAUCAGGAGGAACACCGGUGGCGAAGGCGGGAUCCUGGGCCAGUACUGACGCUGAGGAGCGAAAGCGUGGGGAGCAAACAGG